CACCUUGUCACACUGUUACAAUUUGUGUAUGUGUGUGGUAAACCACCAAACUAGUUAUUCCCCUACUUGUGCAUAUGUGUGUUUGUCUGUGUAUAGUCCAGGCCCUGGGGCAGUGACUGUCCCAGAUUCAAAUGCAUCAGCCACCAGAAGGAUUUCUGAAGCUCUAAGCAACACAUGGACAGCACUCCAUGAAUGAACCCACCACAAUACUACUGUCAGAACAAUGAAGUGCUGGAGGGGAAAGCAAGAUUUUUCUUCUUUGCGGUCCUGGCUGGAGCAGCUAGUAAGAACAAAGUCUGCAGAUGGACACAGAAGGACAGGUGCACCAUGGAACAUUCGUUGGAUUUCACCAUGCUCUUCAAUUGACUGG